rnacentral:miRNA from 1 species
UUACAGAGACCAUUGAUUAAG